GAUAAUCCAAACCAGUAAGUUGCAGCCGUAGCCUUGCACAUGCUUUUUUGGAUUCUGAUAUAUUAGAUCACUUCUAUUUCUACCUUCAGUCAUGGGCUACACUACGCUGCUAAAUUAUUCUGCACACAUUUUUGUAUCUGAACAGGGAUGAAUUGCAUGUACGAAUUUGAUUGCCAUGGAUCUUUCACUUGGACUUGAGGUAGUUAAUUCCUCUGCUCAGUUUCAUUUGCAAGCAUAAUUAGUAUAAUUCACAUUCAUAUCUGCAUUUUUUUCCCUAGCGCCACCACAAGUACUUAAGUAUUUUGAUCUGCCUUGGUCGUCCACGCUCAUGUCUGCUGCCUGCUGGUACUACCGUGCUUGAGGGGAUGAAUCUGGAGGCCUCUCCAUAGCGGACUUCCUAUUUCAAUCCCGCUGCUGUAUCAGGUUUAAACAAUAGGGGAUCCGACACAUGGCUCACAUGGGUGUCAUACUUUGCAUUUGUUUGAGGGCAUGUUCAUCUUGAUUUCUUUUGGAUUCAACAAGAAAUGAAAGAAAAAAAUACAUUGGCAUUCAACCGUCUAGGGUCGUCAAUUUAUAUGAAGUAAGAUUGUUUAUUCUAAGUGCUCACCAUAUUUUUUUACAUUAUUGAUUCUCAAGUCACCGGGCCAGGUAAUCCCAUGUUAUUAUGAUAUUUUUUCAUUAACAUUAAUGUUUCAGUUGCUGUGAAUACAAUUAUUCACUUUGGAGUUAUCUGGAGAAGUAUGCAAACAACAUGUUCUGUUCUCAUGAUCGCACAAUUUGUAUCCAAAAACUAUUGCAUCAAGUCCAAUUUCUAUAUCUCACAAAAGGUAGUACAGUAGCAUAUACAUGUAAUAAAAAUUACGCUUGAGCAACUAAUAACUUAUGAGUGAUCCAUGUUGCCCUCUUCUAAUAUGCAAAAGUACACAUGUUUCUCUCAUCACCAUUUUUGCAAUUGAAUAAGAAUGUGUCAGCUACUUUGUCAGAGAUUGUCGUCCAAACAUGCUAUUUUGCUUCAAACUAUGGUUUACUCAAGAUGACAUAUUUAUGGUUUCCUCAUGGUGUUUGCGUGCGACUUUGCUUUGUAACUAAGUUUAUACAUUUUUAGUUAUUUUAUAUUUGUUGUUGUUCUGGGGAGUUGACAAGUGGAAGACCUUCUCGACUAUAUAGCCAUUCAUAGUAAAUAGAAGGGACCCUAAAUAGAAUGGUGAAUUUGAAAUAGAAUUGGGAAUUUGUUUGUAUGCUCAAUAGAAAAGUUAAUUGUAUGUACAAGUUUAGAAGCAAAAGCUUUCGCGA